rnacentral:rRNA from 1 species
AAUUUUGGACAAUGGGGAAAACCCUAAUCCAACCAUCCCGCGCGUAUGAUGAAGGCCUUAGGGUUGUACCGUACGUGUGGCAGCGAAGAAAAGGCAUCCACUAAUACGGGAUGCUGCUGACGAUACCUGCAGAAUAAGCACCGGCUAACUACGUGCCAGCAGCCGCGGUAAUACGUAGGGUGCAAGCGUUAAUCGGAAUUACUGGGCGUAAAGCGUGUGUAGGCGGUUCGGAAAGAAAGAUGUGAAAUCCCAGGGCUCAACCUUGGAACUGCAUUUUUAACUGCCGAGCUAGAGUAUGUCAGAGGGGGGUAGAAUUCCACGUGUAGCAGUGAAAUGCGUAGAUAUGUGGAGGAAUACCGAUGGCGAAGGCAGCCCCCUGGGAUAAUACUGACGCUCAGACACGAAAGCGUGGGGAGCAAACAGG